UUUGAGAGAAGGUUGAAAAGGAGCCAGUACGGGGAAGCAAAGUGGUUGCCACAAUGUGGGCCAGAACCCGAGUUUUGAAACUGACAUCACUGGGACCUAGUUGGUUUGGAAGGGAUUCAGAGGGACACUCAGCAAUACACUAUUUGGCUUGGUCAAAAGUAAUUUCGAAGUCAUCAGGCCAGAUGUUUUUAAACAAAGUAGGAAAACCAGAACAACGACACUGAAAAAGUGAGUCAAACAGGGCACAAUCAAGAAUAAUGCGCUUACCUAGCACUAGAGAUUCCAACCUAUCAGGUUUACUAGAACGAAAAUUUGCAUAAAACAUUUUGACCAGGAGUUUAUAUACCUUAGGCGGAGGAAUAGAGAAGAACUUUUCCCACCCUUGAUAAGAGAAAAGUUCUUUGACCUUACAGUUAAGGGCUUCUAUGUCAUCAAGAUCGACAACUCGUCCAUGAGCAAUGGACUUGUCUUUUAGAGCAAUAAAAAGAACCCUAUUUGGGGAAUCCCAGAAAUUUAGGUUAGAUUCAAGAGAGGUAUAGAAAUCAACCUUUGAUUUCUUUGGAGUGGACGAAAUAGUGGGUUCUUCCAUGGGUCGCUUGCCUAAAGCCUUUUCUCCUAGAAGUUGUGAGUAUUCAGAAAAAUCUCCUUGAGAUGAGGCGAAGCCUUCAGAGUGAUCAGACCCUAGGUCUACUUGUUCAGGGGGCACAAAAGGGGUUUUUGCUUUGGAACGGGUGCUCUUUCUAGUGGAAGCAGAGGGAUUUUUGGAGUGUUUCGCCAUUGUAGAGAAGAAGCUUUGAUUGAAACUUUUGGAGAAGAGAUGGAGAUGAGAGUGAUUGAAUGGGUUUUCUGUCUUAAGAAGAGAGUUUUGACGGUUGAGUACAGGAAAGAAAAAGGAUGAUUGGCUUUCCAUCUUCGAACUGCGAACUGAUGUGAAAGAAGUGAAAAGAGAGGGAAAAAACGGAGGCGUAAUUAAAGCAUGGGAAAAGGACAACUAUAGCAAAUAAAAUUAAUUGAGCACAUAGGUCCUAAGAGUUAUUAGAAGUGCAAAUAAUACCAAGUAAAUUUCUUAAAGUAUAAAAUCUCUCUUCUAAUAAAGGCUUAGUAAAAAUAUCAGCUAGUUGAGCAGAAGUUCCAACAAAAGAUAUUUCUAUGUCUCUCUUAAGAACAUGAUCUCUAAUGAAAUGAUGCUUAAUAUCUAUAUGCUUUGCUCUAGAAUGAUGCACAUGAUUUUUCGAAAGACAAAUAGCACUAGAAUUGUCACAAAAAAUUUGUAUAGGCUUAAACGAAAGUUCAUAGUCACCCAAUUGAUGAGGCAUCCAUAGUAGUUGUGCGCAACAUUCUUCAAUAGCAAUGUAUUCAGCUUUCGUAGUGGACAAUGCGACGGAUGCUUGCUUUUUACUAUUCCAGGAUAUUAAUGCCUUUCCUAGUAAUUGACAUGUACUGCUUGUGAUUUUUCUAUCCUCUUUAUCACCUGCAAGGUCAGCAUCUGAAAAACCUUCUAAUUUAAAAGAGUUAGAGCGAGGAUACCAUAAUCCAUGAGAUACAGUUCCAAUGAGAUAUCGAAUGAUUCUCUUUACAACAGUCAAAUGUGACUCCUUGGGAGCUGACUGAAACUUGGCACAUUUACAUACACUGAACAUGAUGUCUGGUUGACUUUCUAUCAGAUACAGUAGUGAUCCAAUAAUUCCAAGAUAUUUGUUUUCAUCAACAGGAAUGCCCUAUUCAUCUUUGUCUAGAUUCGUAGAGGGGCUCAUUGGAGUGCCAAUUGAUUUUGCAUUGCUCAUACCAAGUUUUUGAAUCAGCUCUUUUGUGUAUUUGGUCUGACAUAUGAAGGUUCCUUCUUCAAAUUGUUGAAUUUGUUGCCCAAGGAAGAAUGUGAGCUCACCCAUCAUACUCAUUUCAAAUUCGCUUUGCAUAAGAUUUGAAAAUUCCUUGUACAUAAAAGGGUUAGCACUACCAAAUAUAAUGUCAUCAACAUAAAUUUGAAUAAUGAGGUUACCUUCUGAUGAUCGUUUAAUAAACAGGGUAGUAUCAAUUUUACCUCUUAUAAAGCCGUGAUCAACAAGAAAGGUACUUAGCCUAUCAUACCAGGCACAUGGAGCUUAUUUCAAUCCAUACAGUGCUUUAGUGAGCUUGUAUACAUGUUAUGGGAAUUUUGAAUCUUCAAAGCCUAGAGGUUGUUUCACAAAUACUUCUUCAUCGAUGAAUCCAUUUAAAAAAGUGCUUUUAACAUCCAUUUGGAACAACCUGAAACCUUUAAAAGAUGCGUAUGCCAGAAGAAUUUGUAUAGAUCCCAAACGAGCUACUGGGGCGAAAGUUUCAUCAUAGUCGACUCCUUCCUGUUGUGAGUAGGCCUGAGCAACUAGUCCGGCUUUAUUUCUUAUGACCUUUCCAUCUUCGUUCAAUUUGUUCCUAAACACCCACUUUGUUCCGUUUACAGACACAUUAUCAGGUUUGGGUAUUAGUUUCCACAUUUGAUUCUUGCUGAACUAAUCUAACUCCUCUUGCAUGGCUUGCACAUUAUCAGGGCAGCUUGACAUUACUGGGUGCGACUGAGUCAACUGGUGAAAAUAGCAGUAAUAUGCCAGAUCCACAAAUCAAGUCGACUACAAAUACAACCGACCACAUAGAAACGAAGGAAUGAAAACCAGGGCAGCUCUCAAUCUACAAAUACAGUUCUUGCUGAACUAAUCUAACUCCUCUAACUCCUCUUCAGUAAUGUCACAAUUGUUAUUAAAGGGAAUUGUUCCAGUACCAACUAUAUUGCCCUUUGAAUCGUCCCCAAAUUUAACACUUCCUCUAUCGAUUUUUGUAACUUCUUUGAACAGGUUUUUGUCACCUGUCAUAUGACUAGAACACGCACUGUCUAGAUACCAUUUUACUUUGCGGCUUACUCUGUGGUGUUCCUGCAAGACAAGAUGAUUACUUUCUUUUAGGUACCCAAGCUUGCUUGGGUCCUGGAGGGUUAGUGUUACUAGGUUCAGAACUUUUUGGUUUCCAAACCUAUCCUGACAUAUUUGAUUUACGAAAAUGACAAAAGGAAUAUUUAUGCCCACUUUUAUUACAGUAAUGACACUUAACAUCAGACCCGCUUAUAGGUCUUUCAUAGGUAUUGGAACUAGUCGACCUGGUUCUAGCAGGUUCUUUUCCAGUUGACUUGUAAGUCGUCUGGUUUGACCUAACAGAACUGUGACUGCUAGAUUUGCGCAUGCUGUUGAGCUGCAUUUGCAAAUCCUCAAACUCUUCUUAAAGUACUUCCUUUUCGAUUUCACAUACUUCAUGUUUGAGUUUCCAGUCUUUAACCUCCCUAGUGAGUCUCUUAAGUUCAUUCAUCAUUUUUGAGACUCUUUCAAUGUUGAAUCAAGGAUAUCUUGCAAUUCAUUAUAUUUUUCACAGUCAUAAGAUCUUACCUCACUAGUUUCACCUCGUGCCAUGAAACAGUUUUCAUUCUCGUCAUCUGAAACAUCUUCAUCUGUCCAACAUCCUAAAGUUUUUUUCAUUUCAUUUUCUAGAAUUGUCAUGAAGCAGAGAUUUGUUAUUUCUUCAUGGUCAGAGUCAUCCUCAUCGCUCCAGCUUCCGAAGGUUUUGUUCUUGUUGAAGCCUCUAGAGAUCUUCCUCUUUAGUUCUAGGCAUUCAGCUUGAAUAUGCCCAAAUUUUCCACAUUCGUAGCAUUUUCCAUCAUUCUUAUCCUGUUCGUUGUAUUGCCUGGAUCGUCUUGGUGGAAAUCUUUCUUUCUUUGUGUUCCUGUAUCUUCUCAUUAGCCCAUCCAUAUUUCUAGACAUCAUAGCAAUCUCUUCUUGCAGAGCUUCAGGAUCAUCAAUUUCAUUUUCAACCAUUUCAGUAGAGGUUUUGAAUGCAACUAUUUUCAUUUUCUCCUCUUGAUUUGUCUUUUUGAGAUGCGUCCUUUCAAAGGCAAUUAGUUCUCCUCGUAGUUCAUCAUAGGACAAUUUGUUUAGGUCUUGAGAUUCCAGUGUGACUACUUUGGUCUGCCAAGUGGUUGGCAGACUUCUGAGAAUUUUUCUGACUUGAUCACCACUGGUGUAGGGCUUGCCAAACGCCUUUAAAUCGCUAAUUAUUUUGCUAAACCUGACAAACAUCUCUUCAAUGUAUUCUCCUUCUUUCAUUGAGAAAAGUUCGUAAUCAUGAACCAACAUAUUGAUAUGUGUUUCCUUUACUUUGCUGGUUCCCUCAUAGGUGACCUUAAGUUUGUCCUACAUCUCUUUGGUCGUGUCACAACUUGAUAUUUUCUCGUAUUCUUCACCACUUAUAGCGUUAUGAAGCAAAUAUCUCGCCUUGUUGUUCACUUGUACUACUUCCAGUUGCUCCUUUGAGUAUGAAUCUAUAUCUUUAGGGUCAGCAAGUGGUGGAGUGCUAGCUAGUAGGGGAUAAUUUCCCUUUUUGAUGACUCUCCAGACUUUGACAUCGUAAGCUUUAACAAAGAUUUUCAUUCUUACUUUUCAGUGAGAGAAAUGUUGUCCAUUGAAGUAUGGUGGUCUAACUUGUGAAGUUCCUUCCUGAAAAAGAGCUCCUAUGAUAACCUGAUUUGCCAUGAUCUUUUCUCACAAGCUGUUAAGCAAAAGUAAAAUGUGAGACUAGCUCUGAUACCAAUUGAAAGUACAGGGGGGGGUGAAUUGUAAAUAUUUAAACUUAAUCACUUAUUAGUUGACUAAUUUAUUGAGUAGUCGACUAGAUAUGAUAAUUCAAUAGAUAUAGUAAAAGAAAGUAAAUUGCAGAAAGUAAAUGCAGGAAUUAAAGACACCAAGAUUUUAUACUGGUUCGGAUUCAAUGUGAAUCCUAGUCCAGUCCCCUUGGGUUGCAAGUGAGUUCUCUUUUAGUAAAUAUGUUUCUCCGAGUACAGUUGUAGUGAAUUUGCACACAGUUUGUCUAGCACUCGUUUUUUAUACAAUGCCUCACCAGUGUUAUGCUCUCUUUCUUUCCCUGACUUGUUACACAACAGAUCUUAGUGAACUACAAUGUUUGUUUGCAGUAGAAUAAAGAGAGUGAUUUUGGUUCGAUCAAAGUAUGUCAGACUAGGGUUUAAGGCGGGAUAUAAAUACUUUGAUGGAUGGUAGAGGCUUGACAACCCAAGAGAUUUGAUCCUUGGAAAGAAAUUGAUUCUUUCCAAGAAUAAGAUAGUAAGCCGUUGCUUCUCCUUAAUUUCCUUCCUUCAGCAGAGAUACGAGUGAAGACUUGCUCCUUGAUUGUUUGUCUUUCCAAACUUAAUCGCGUACCAAUCUUCUCAUAACUUUCGAUCUUCCGGGAUACUGCCCCUGAAAUGUGCCUUAACUUAAGGCUUGCUUGAUUCUCUCCAACGUUGCUCUUUGCCGAUUGAUUUGCUGAUUGGAUUCCGUCCAGAUUUGCGAGUCCUUUCCUUAGUUGUCCAGAUUUACUAAUUGUAUGAUAAUCUUUGCUAAUUGAUUUCUUCCCUUAUUCAUCAUGAUUGACUCCAGCAUUCUUGUGGUAUCUUCUUGACUUCUUGUAAUUGAUUUCCUGCACAUGUAUAUUAUUUGUAUCACUAAAACUGGAUCUAGCAUGCUUGUGAACUUAUUGAAUGGUAAUUUACAAGAUAAUUAUGAGUCUUCACCUAUUGUGCCCGAAUCUGAUGCAGGACUACAUGUUGAAACGAAAUGGGCAAGCUUUGGUUUGGUUGUUAUGCACAACAAGGGUACUUUGCUUCUUACCCAUAAAUUUCAAAAUCAGUUCGUUGGGAAGACCAUAAUUGCUGAAGCGUUUACUAUUAGGAAAGCUAUAUAUAUAUAUAUAUAUAUAUAUAUAUAUAUAUAUAUUCUCUGACACGAAAGUUUAGUAUACAUGUUUACGCAAAAUGUGAAAGCUUCUUGGGAUAUGGAUGUGACUUGUGAAGAUGUUUGAAACAUGUCCUUGUACUUAGAUGGUAUUGCUUUUAUAUGAAAUUCUCCGUUUCUUUAAUAUUUGAUUUCUCUUGGGAAAUUGUGUUUCUCAAGUUGGGAUGCAAGUUCAACUGAUUUUUAGCAUCAAAAUACCACAUCAACUUUGUUAUCACCUUCACCCCUAAUCCUAAUUAUCAAGGAAUCUAGUCAUCGAAAUACAAAAGGCUAAAGUCCACCCUCUUUUAUGCAUAUUUUGUUAAUCAAUCUCUUAGAUUUACUAUUGUAGAACCCUAUGGCAUUCAUAUAUCAUUUCCUUAUGCAACAUAAGGAUGAAAAAAAGAAUAAGAAAAUUUGCGAUAUCAACACUGAAGAACAUGACAAACUUAGAUUAACAAUAGCGUUUGAUAUUUCCUUCUCCUUAGAGUGUCAAAUGUUACAAUUUUUACAAGAUGCAGAUGAAUAUAAUAAUAUAAUAUACGUAAAACCAUCCUCUCAACUAGAUAGAGCUGAAAAACAAGGUGCGUUGGGCUGGGCUUAAGAGAAGAAGCCGAAUGUGUCGAAAAUGGUAGUGUGAAGUGGGUCACUCAAGUGGGUAGCCCAGUUGUUAAGUGGGCCUUUUCCAGUAGCAGCAGCUUGGACAGCAAAGCCCAAGAAGGCAACCAUAGCAAGACGAGCAUGCUUGAUCUCAGCAAGUUGAAGUGUGGCUUUUUUCUCCGGGUCAGCAGCAAGGCCCAAUGGGUCGAAGAAUGAUCCACCAGGGUAAAGCCUCUUUUCCGGGUCAAGCUCAGCGUUUCUUUGGAAUUCAAUGUAUCCAAUAACAAGGACCUCAAUCCAGAUCAAUGUUGUAAUGGAGAAUGGGAGUGGUUGCCCCAAGUAGGAUGAUCCCUCAACCAGCUCAACCUAUGCAAGUCCAAGAAAGAGUUAAAUGAGUUAGAAAUGGCAAGUGCAACACAAUCACAAGUUAAACAAUACUCUACUGAUAAGUCUUAUUAAAUUUGAAAUGGGUUUAUCCCUGUUUGGUUAGGAUAAAAUUAUGGUAUAAUUAAUCUCGGGAUUAGUUAUCCCGAGAUUGUAGUGUUUUUUUAUCAUGUGAUAACUUGUUUCCCAACCAAACAACCCCAUAAUGUAAAUACUUUAAUCCUAUUUACCUUCUAGGUGCAGCAAGGUGACAAAUUAAAUAUUCCUUUCAGGAAAAACUCAUCCAUACUCGAUGAACUUUUAUCAUUUAAUCAUAGUUGUAAUAUAAAUUUUGACCUCAUUAAAUUACUUAACCAACUAUAUGGUUUAAACGACGAGUGCAGUUAAAUGUAUAUCGCUCCUCAACUACACUAUGCAAUUUCUAGCCUAAACUGUCCAUAAAACAUCGAAAUUUUCCACUUUAGGUUUGGUCGUGCGUAAAAUCAAGUGAUUAGAAACUUUGUUUUCAUACUUUCUUGAUCUAUUUUUUCUAUUUAUCUCAAGCUCGAUCACGAGCAUAUUGCUUUUUUUUUUUUCCACCAAAGUUUCUAAUAAAUAUUGAUGAUGUUUAAAUUUUGUUCCCAAUGGGAUUGUAGUCCCAAUCUAGCAAAAUAGUAAAUCCACAAAUUCGAAACUAGCUAGGCAACCAUGGACAAUGAGGAAGGAAUAAUCACAAGCACCAUGCACAAACCUACUGUUCAGGCAUCAAAAUGAAAUACGGAAAGUUGAAAAUAAAAUGCGGAUCCAAGAUUUGAAUUAAUAGUAUGUAUUACAACAGAGUUAUUACUCUUUAAUUAAACUUUAUGCAAAUAUAAUAUAGAUAUAAAUUUUUAAUUAAAACUUUUCAUACAUAUUUAAUUCAAAUAAGCAUUUAGUGGGUAUAUAUAUAUGCUUACAAUUACAAAUGACGUUGAGCAUGAAUUAACAUGUAAUAAGAAUUAUCUAUUCAAAGAAAGUAAUGUACCAGAACUACUACUAAAUAUUAAGUAGGGAAGUUAACUUAUAUAGCUAACAACUUAAAUUUGUUUAUUGUUUUAUACUUUUAUUACUACCAGUAAAUUUUAGCACAUGUCUUAUAUUAAUUUUUCUCACUGUCACUAUAAACUAAGUUAAUCUCAGGUUAUAAUACGUUCAUGCAAAAGCAAAAGAUGGUGUAGGUAGUACCUUUCCAGCGUCUUGCCAUGUAAUACCAGUGAGCCACUCAACAGUCAAAGCACCAAGUGUAGCCAACAUAGCCCAUCUCCCAUGGAUCAGCUCACAUUCUCUGAAUCUCUGCAGUCCAAACACCUCACUGUACGGCUGGAACGGUGUCGAUUUCACAUCAGCAAGUUCAGUCCUGGUCCCAAUUACGUCACCGGCCAAAUUCUUAGCCAAAUUCUGGUCCAAUGAAUCCAAAUCAAAUUGCAAGUACUCAGCAGGUUUCCCCAAACCAAAUGGAUCGAAUCCGUAAUCGCCGACGAGACUCCCGUCCAGAUAUUCUGGUGCCUUAGCUCCUGGGUACCAUAACGGUCUGUCUGGGAUUUGCCUUUUUGGAGCCUUUUUAGGUGCGGCUUUUUUUCCGAAUCCGAAUCGGGCUUGGACUCUACCGGCACCGGAGUGAAUUUCCGGCAGCCGUGUUCCGAUGAAUGAGGAUGUGGCAGC
rnacentral:lncRNA from 1 species